GAGGGUAUAGCUCAAGUGGUAGAGCACAUGCUUAGCAUGCACAAGGUCCUGGGUUCAAUCCCCAGUACCACCU
rnacentral:tRNA from 1 species